rnacentral:rRNA from 1 species
UACGAAGGGGGCUAGCGUUGCUCGGAUUGACUGGGCGUAAAGCGCACGUAGGCGGAUUGUUAAGUCAGGGGUGAAAUCCCGAGGCUCAACCUCGGAACUGCCUUUGAUACUGGCAAUCUCGAGUCCGGAAGAGGUGAGUGGAAUUCCUAGUGUAGAGGUGAAAUUCGUAGAUAUUAGGAAGAACACCAGUGGCGAAGGCGGCUCACUGGUCCGGUACUGACGCUGAGGUGCGAAAGCGUGGGGAGCAAACAGG